CACACACACACACACACACACACGUGCACGUACAUACUAGCACUCAGAAUAAGAGGUGAGAGUUAGGUUGAGGUAAUGAGACCACAACAUGGGACAAAUGGUUUAACUAUGCUUUUCAGACUUAUAAAAUUUGUGCUAGAAUCAAACAAACUGCUCAUGAAAGAUUGAAAUACAAACGGCCUGUGUUUUAUUCAAGGUUAAUCUGGUAGCUCACCUCUUACAUACUGUUGCAGCCUCUGGACUAAUGCGAAUUAACAGGCAUGAAUUGAAAACCAUUGCUUCUUUGACUUAAAGAUUAUGAGAAUAAAUACAGUCCCAAUUAGUGAUAAGCAGUGUUGAACGAUGGGGUCAGGAAGUGGCCUGUAGAGCGCUGCUCCUGAAAUGCCAAAGGAGGUAAAUUUCCUUUUGUAUCUAGUCCGAUGGAAAGCUCCUCCCACACCUCAGUUUUAAUCGAGAAGAAUCCUUUUCUUCACCUGUGAGUACACUUUAUUGAUUCUAAAAUCAAUAAAGGGUCUAACCAUAGAAAUCUUUACUGGAACCAUCAGUGAUUGAUUAAUGUUAGACAAUUGUUUUCAAAACAUUUUGACUAGCUAUUAGCGUUCAGUCUAACAAAGGUGAGCCUGACAGCUUGCCACUGUGUGUCACUUGUGGACUAUACUACAGUGUUUACCAUUUUGAACUUUGAACUCGGGAUAUCAUCUCGUCAUGCCACCUGGAGUGCUGCAUGCAGUUUGGGCAGCUGCAUCCCAAGACAGACAUAACAGCAAUGAAGAAAGUCCAAGGUAAAUCACUGAAAAAGGAAAGAGAAGAUUCUGCACUAAAGAUGCAGUAAGAGGAUCAGACUGUGUUUAGGAAUAAAUGUGUUAAGAGAUAUGAUGAACAGGAGGAUGUGGUUGAAGUCUAGAAGUAAACAAGUUAAUCAAAUCUAGAAAAGGUAGAAAAGGAUUUUCUAUUUUCGAGAGGUACCUUUGGGAGUUCCCCAAAACAGCAGAAGUUUGAGGUUUCCACAUUAGGUAGUUAAACACAGAUAUAGACUGAAAAUAUACAUUGAUUAAAGAAUUUUUAAGUAAAGUUGAGAACAUGGCAAGCAUAAGAAGUUGUUCAGAGGAAGCCAGUGGCAUUCAUGCCCGCGUCCAGCUUUGUGAGGCUGACAUCACGAUGGGUGACCACCGUGUCCCAUCACAGAACAUCUUUGAUGACACUGUCAGAAAUGGAGAUCUGAGUGUGUUUGCCGCAGCGUGACGUUGCUUAUGUACUUAGGUGCUUUAUCUCCUCCUUUGAUGCUAUGGUUUGAAUGUUCUUGUCCCCUCCAAAACUCACGUUCAAAUUUAAUUGCCAGUAUAAACGGUAUUGGGAAGUGGGACCUUUAAGAUGUGAUUAGGCCACAAGGGUUCAGCCUUCACGAAUGGAUUAAAGAUACUAUAAAAAAGGCUUUGGGGAGUGGGUUCUCUCUCUUUGCCCUUCCUCCAUGUGAACCUGAGGCCUUCCUCCUCUCCAGAGAACAAAGCAUCUUGGAAUCAGAAUUGCCAAACUUGCCAAUGCCUUAAUAUUGAACUUCCCAGCCUCCAGAACUGGUGUAUGUGUGUGUGGAAGACUGCAGUCAUUGGGACAUCUGACGUAAGAAGCUGCUGAGCGUGCUGGCAGCAAGGUGGUAACGACUCGGCACAAGUGAAUGAGAAUGAUGAAGCUGGGCAUGCCUGUUGCUGUGCUUUACUUUUCCUGUUGACCUUGAGGAAGUUCACAGUUGCAAGUAGGCAUUUUAGCAUUUACCUGCUGAGUUUCAAGUGCUUAGCAUGCUGUGACUUCAUGUGAUGUGGUAAAUUUGGCGAGUACUUCGGACUACUUUGGCAGUUAAG